GAUGAACGCUGGCGGCAUGCCUAAUACAUGCAAGUCGAACGAGAGGAAGGAAAGCUUGCUUUUCUGAAUCUAGUGGCGAACGGGUGAGUAACACGUAGGUAACCUGCCCAUGUGCCCGGGAUAACUUCUGGAAACGGAUGCUAAAACCGGAUAGGUAGCAGACAAGCAUUUGACUGCUAUUAAAGUGGCUAAGGCCAUGAAAAUGGACGGACCUGCGGUGCAUUAGCUAGUUGGGGAGGUAACGGCCCACCAAGGCGACGAUGCAGAGCCGGCCUGAGAGGGCGGACGGCCACAUUGGGACUGAGACACGGCCCAAACUCCUACGGGAGGCAGCAGUAGGGAAUUUUCGUCAAUGGGGGGAACCCUGAACGAGCAAUGCCGCGUGAGUGAGGAAGGUCUUCGGAUCGUAAAGCUCUGUUGUAAGAGGAAAGCGACAUUCAUAGGGAAUGAUGAGUGAGUGAUGGUAUCUUACCAGAAAGUCACGGCUAACUACGUGCCAGCAGCCGCCGUAA
rnacentral:rRNA from 1 species